rnacentral:rRNA from 1 species
AUAUCAAUAAGCGGAGGAAAAGAAACUAACAAGGAUUCCCCUAGUAACUGCGAGUGAAGCGGGAAAAGCUCAAAUUUAAAAUCUGGUAGUCAUUGGCUGCCCGAGUUGUAAUCUAGAGAAGCGUUAUCCGCGCUGGACCGUGUACAAGUCUCCUGGAAUGGAGCGUCAUAGAGGGUGAGAAUCCCGUCUUUGACACGGACUGCCAGGGCUUUGUGAUGCGCUCUCGAAGAGUCGAGUUGUUUGGGAAUGCAGCUCUAAAUGGGUGGUAAAUUCCAUCUAAAGCUAAAUAUUGGCGAGAGACCGAUAGCGAACAAGUACCGUGAGGGAAAGAUGAAAAGAACUUUGGAAAGAGAGUUAAACAGUACGUGAAAUUGUUGAAAGGGAAACGCUUGAAGUCAGUCGCGUUUGCCUGGAAUCAGCCUUGCUUUUGCUUGGUGUAUUUCCUGGUUUAACGGGUCAGCAUCAAUUUUGACCGGUGGAAAAAGGUCAGGGGAAUGUGGCAUCUUCGGAUGUGUUAUAGCCCUUGGUUGUAUACAUCGGUUGGGAUUGAGGAACUCAGCACGCCGUAAGGUCGGGUUUUUAACCACGUUCGUGCUUAGGAUGCUGGCAUAAUGGCUUUAAUCGACCCGUCUUGAAACACGGACCAAGGAGUCUAACAUGCCUGCGAGUGUUUGGGUGGAAAACCCGAGCGCGUAAUGAAAGUGAAAGUUGAGAUCCCUGUCGUGGGGAGCAUCGACGCCCGGACCAGACCUUUUGUGACGGCUCCGCGGUAGAGCAUGUAUGUUGGGACCCGAAAGAUGGUGAACUAUGCCUGAAUAGGGUGAAGCCAGAGGAAACUCUGGUGGAGGCUCGUAGCGAUUCUGACGUGCAAAUCGAUCGUCAAAUUUGGGUAUAGGGGCGAAAGACUAAUCGAACCAUCUAGUAGCUGGUUCCU